UUCCCAAAUGGGCCGAGUAACAGUGGCCACCAAAUUGGGUUCCUAAUUACAUGAUAACAAAUGGGUUUUAUAAGAUUUUUAAUGCACAAUUCCCAAAAACAAAAGAAGGAUAACUACGCAUGUUAUUAGAACUGAGGAAGAAAUCAUUUUUCCUUCUUCUAGCUGAUACUGUCGAGUUUUUCCCCCAAAAGCAGAAUCACCAUUUUCUUCCUUCAAGUUCAAUUCGGAGAGAAAUUUCAUAUAGUAGCUGCAAUACUUUGAUAAUAAAGGUUCGAGUGGCAGUGUAGAAUGAACAAGCAAGGAUUUCUAUUUCAUUAAGCGUAUCAGGUUAAGCUGUGAUGUAGAUGGAAGCAAGCAGAGCAAAGCCUUCAGAGUAUAUUAAAUUAGGCUCAGGAUUCCAUGUCUUCAUACAUGUAAUCCACAUGAAUUAUUCCGCUGCAACACUCAGUCUAUUCUACUUUGUUGAUGUGUUGUACAUAUUUUAAAUCAAUAGCUUUGAGAAUUAUAUCACUUGAAAGUUAGACAACUUGUCGUUGUGUAUUGUAAGUUGUCUACUCAUGAGUUUUAAAAGUGAUUGCUUAUGGUUAUCCAAUAUUAAAGUAAUUCAUCGUUAAA